AUUUCCUUGUCUAGAAAGUAUGAUACAGGUUUGUUUUUAAAGGCUCUCUCUUUUGUUUUUAAGUUAUCCAACAUAUGAGGCAUGAUAUUAAGUCAUUAGUGGUGGGAUGUUUGUUGGAAGUUGCUUUCACUAUUCUGUCAUCCUAGUGCCUUUCAAUUUCUCAAGACAAUAGCUGUAGUAAAUGAAUACACUUUAAUAAGAACAAAGGAUUGCCA